CACUGUUCACUUGGUCCUACAUUAUCCAAUUGGAUAACUGUGGAAAUGCUAGAGCUAAUACACGCAACAAUGCUCCGACCUCGCGGGACGAGCGCAUUUAUUAGAACAAAACCAAUCGGGCCUCGCGUCCGUGCUUUGGUCACUCUGAAUAAACUAGCUGAUCGUACGGUCCUUGUACCGACGACGUACCAUACGAGUGUCUGCCUUAUCAACUUUCGAUGGUAGUUUCUGUGCCUACCAUGGUUGUAACGGGUAACGGAGAAUCAGGGUUCGACUCCGGAGAGGGAGCCUGAGAAACGGCUACCACA
rnacentral:rRNA from 1 species